rnacentral:rRNA from 1 species
GGUUAAGCGAACAAGCGUACACGGUGGAUGCCCUGGCAGUCAGAGGCGAUGAAGGACGUGCUAAUCUGCGAAAAGCGCCGGUAAGGUGAUAUGAACCGUUAUAACCGGCGAUGUCCGAAUGGGGAAACCCGGUGCACUUCGGUGCAUCAUCGUUAGCUGAAUACAUAGGCUAACGAAGCGAACCGGGGGAACUGAAACAUCUAAGUACCCCGAGGAAAAGAAAUCAACCGAGAUUCCCCCAGUAGCGGCGAGCGAACGGGGAACAGCCCAGAGCCUGAAUCAGCUUGUGUGUCAGUGGAACGGUCUGGAAAGGCCGGCGAUACAGGGUGACAGCCCCGUACACGAAGGCACACAGGCUGUGAGCUCGAUGAGUAGGGCGGGACACGUGAUAUCCUGUCUGAAGAUGGGGGGACCAUCCUCCAAGGCUAAAUACUCCUGACUGACCGAUAGUGAACCAGUACCGUGAGGGAAAGGCGAAAAGAACCCCGGCGAGGGGAGUGAAACAGAACCUGAAACCGUGUACGUACAAGCAGUGGGAGCCUUCGUAAGAGGGUGACUGCGUACCUUUUGUAUAAUGGGUCAGCGACUUAUAUUCUGUAGCAAGGUUAACCGUAUAGGGGAGCCGAAGGGAAACCGAGUCUUAACCGGGCGUUAAGUUGCAGGGUAUAGACCCGAAACCCGGUGAUCUAGCCAUGGGCAGGUUGAAGGUUGGGUAACACUAACUGGAGGACCGAACCGACUAAUGUUGAAAAAUUAGCGGAUGACCUGUGGCUGGGGGUGAAAGGCCAAUCAAACCGGGAGAUAGCUGGUUCUCCCCGAAAGCUAUUUAGGUAGCGCCUCGUGAACUCAUCUCCGGGGGUAGAGCACUGUUUCGGCUAGGGGGCCAUCCCGGCUUACCAACCCGAUGCAAACUGCGAAUACCGGAGAAUGUUAUCACGGGAGACACACGGCGGGUGCUAACGUCCGUCGUGAAGAGGGAAACAACCCAGACCGCCAGCUAAGGUCCCAAAGUCAUGGUUAAGUGGGAAACGAUGUGGGAAGGCCCAGACAGCCAGGAUGUUGGCUUAGAAGCAGCCAUCAUUUAAAGAAAGCGUAAUAGCUCACUGGUCGAGUCGGCCUGCGCGGAAGAUGUAACGGGGCUAAACCAUGCACCGAAGCUGCGGCAGCGACACUAUGUGUUGUUGGGUAGGGGAGCGUUCUGUAAGCCUGCGAAGGUGUGCUGUGAGGCAUGCUGGAGGUAUCAGAAGUGCGAAUGCUGACAUAAGUAACGAUAAAGCGGGUGAAAAGCCCGCUCGCCGGAAGACCAAGGGUUCCUGUCCAACGUUAAUCGGGGCAGGGUGAGUCGACCCCUAAGGCGAGGCCGAAAGGCGUAGUCGAUGGGAAACAGGUUAAUAUUCCUGUACUUGGUGUUACUGCGAAGGGGGGACGGAGAAGGCUAUGUCGGCCGGGCGACGGUUGUCCCGGUUUAAGCGUGUAGGCUGACUUUCCAGGCAAAUCCGGAAGGUUAAGGCUGAGGCGUGAUGACGAGGCACCACGGUGCUGAAGUGACAAAUGCCCUGCUUCCAGGAAAAGCCUCUAAGCAUCAGGUAACAUCAAAUCGUACCCCAAACCGACACAGGUGGUCAGGUAGAGAAUACCAAGGCGCUUGAGAGAACUCGGGUGAAGGAACUAGGCAAAAUGGUGCCGUAACUUCGGGAGAAGGCACGCUGACAUGUAGGUGAAGCCCCUGCGGGUGGAGCUGAAGUCAGUCGAAGAUACCAGCUGGCUGCAACUGUUUAUUAAAAACACAGCACUGUGCAAACACGAAAGUGGACGUAUACGGUGUGACGCCUGCCCGGUGCCGGAAGGUUAAUUGAUGGGGUUAUCGCAAGAGAAGCUCCUGAUCGAAGCCCCGGUAAACGGCGGCCGUAACUAUAACGGUCCUAAGGUAGCGAAAUUCCUUGUCGGGUAAGUUCCGACCUGCACGAAUGGCGUAAUGAUGGCCAGGCUGUCUCCACCCGAGACUCAGUGAAAUUGAACUCGCUGUGAAGAUGCAGUGUACCCGCGGCAAGACGGAAAGACCCCGUGAACCUUUACUACAGCUUGACACUGAACAUUGAGCCUUGAUGUGUAGGAUAGGUGGGAGGCUUUGAAGCGUGGACGCCAGUCUGCGUGGAGCCGACCUUGAAAUACCACCCUUUAAUGUUUGAUGUUCUAACCUGGCGCCGUGAUCCGGCGUGGGGACAGUGUCUGGUGGGUAGUUUGACUGGGGCGGUCUCCUCCCAAAGUGUAACGGAGGAGCACGAAGGUCAGCUAAUCCUGGUCGGACAUCAGGAGGUUAGUGCAAUGGCAUAAGCUGGCUUGACUGCGAGAGUGACGGCUCGAGCAGGUGCGAAAGCAGGUCAUAGUGAUCCGGUGGUUCUGUAUGGAAGGGCCAUCGCUCAACGGAUAAAAGGUACUCCGGGGAUAACAGGCUGAUACCGCCCAAGAGUUCAUAUCGACGGCGGUGUUUGGCACCUCGAUGUCGGCUCAUCACAUCCUGGGGCUGAAGUAGGUCCCAAGGGUAUGGCUGUUCGCCAUUUAAAGUGGUACGCGAGCUGGGUUUAGAACGUCGUGAGACAGUUCGGUCCCUAUCUGCCGUGGGCGCUGGAGAAUUGAGGGGGGCUGCUCCCAGUACGAGAGGACCGGAGUGGACGCAUCACUGGUGUUCGGGUUGUCAUGCCAAUGGCACUGCCCGGUAGCUAAAUGCGGAAGAGAUAAGUGCUGAAAGCAUCUAAGCACGAAACUUGCCCCGAGAUGAGUUCUCCCUGAGACUGUAAGUCUCCUGAAGGAACGUUGAAGACGACGACGUUGAUAGGCCGGGUGUGUAAGCGCAGCGAUGCGUUGAGCUAACCGGUACUAAUGAACCGUGAGGCUUAACCUU